rnacentral:rRNA from 3 species
UUAGGAAUCUUGCGCAAUGGGCGAAAGCCUGACGCAGCGACGCCGCGUGACUGAUGAAGUCCUUCGGGAUGUAAAAGUCUUUUGCCAGGGAAGAAGGAUGUGACGGUACCUGGCGAAUAAGCCCCGGCUAACUACGUGCCAGCAGCCGCGGUAAUACGUAGGGGGCGAGCGUUGUCCGAAGUCACUGGGCGUAAAGCGCGCGUAGGCGGUCUUUUAAGUUGGAUGUGAAAUCCUGCGGCCCAACCGCAGAACUGCAUCCAAAACUGGGAGACUUGAGGAUGGAAGAGGGCAGUGGAAUUCCUGGUGUAGCGGUGAAAUGCGUAGAUAUCAGGAGGAACACCCGUGGCGAAGGCGGCUGCCUGGUCCAUAUCUGACGCUGAGGUGCGAAAGCCAGGGGAGCGAACGGG